UUCAGAGGUGCCCAAUAGAUGGCGAGUGUCCUCGUUUUUCAUGUAAUGGCUGUUGUGUUGUUGUCAAAAGUUCCUAUUUUUUCACGAAAUUACCGAUUAAUUCAUAAGAUGGAACGCGAAAGGAAGCAUCAGCCUUCGAUCAACCCUUUCAUAAUUGACGUUCUGCUGAAUGCAUCAUCCAAUUAAUACAGGUCACUAAUCCCAGCGUGGACAUGUAUUGUUUUAUUCCGAACAUGUUUUACUACAAAUGUUGCAUUGACAGACAAGGAAAGCUAUGGAAAACAUUAUGUAGGACAUGAGUAAUCUUAGAAGUCACGUGAAAAGAUGCAGGGCAGGGCACUUACCAACAUAUGUUCAACACUGCUGCGGCUGCCUACAGUCACAGGCAGGAAUAUUGCUGUCUUUCUUCAGACAAUUGCAAAGCUAUUGGAGUAAUUUAGUCUUCAUCCCCACUGGACUCUUUCAUCUUCUGGAUAGCUUGGGAAACCUGAUUGGUGUUAUCAAUCCAUUCUGAUAAUGACCGAAAGGAUGCGGCCCAUAGACUGUGAACAUCAGACGGGAUCAGACUUCAGCAUCUCUACGAGCCACGACAUAAACGUGCAGUGACAUUCUACAAGUUCUACGCGGAUCAUCUACUGUUAUUGUUGGUAUGAGUGUUUUGUUAGUUAAUCCGUUGGCUGCCACGCCUUUGUUUCCCCCAUGUUAGCUCCUUAGCACGGGCCGCACUGUUUGGUCUCUUGGUCUUAUGUGCCUUGGGAUCGAACAGCUGCACCUGCCCAAGAUUCGCCGAAAGGCCCUGUUAGGCAAUGCACCAUAGGGACUUC